ACGCUCGACACCUACGGAGGCAGCAGUGGGGAAUAUUGCACAAUGGGGGAAACCCUGAUGCAGCGACGCCGCGUGGAGGAAGAAGGUCUUCGGAUUGUAAGCUCCUGUUGUUGGGGAAAAAGAGGAUGGUACCCAACAAGGAAGUGACGGCUAACUACGUGCCAACAGCCGCGGUAAUCUGAGCGGGCUGGCAAGGC
rnacentral:rRNA from 1 species